CAAAUCUUGACAUCCUUUGACCCUUCUAGAGAUAGAAGUUUCCCCUUCGGGGGACAAAGUGACAGGUGGUGCAUGGUUGUCGUCAGCUCGUGUCGUGAGAUGUUGGGUUAAGUCCCGCAACGAGCGCAACCCUUAAGCUUAGUUGCCAUCAUUAAGUUGGGCACUCUAAGUUGACUGCCGGUGACAAACCGGAGGAAGGUGGGGAUGACGUCAAAUCAUCAUGCCCCUUAUGAUUUGGGCUACACACGUGCUACAAUGGACAAUACAAAGGGCAGCGAAACCGCGAGGUCAAGCAAAUCCCACAAAGUUGUUCUCAGUUCGGAUUGUAGUCUGCAACUCGACUACAUGAAGCUGGAAUCGCUAGUAAUCGUAGAUCAGCAUGCUACGGUGAAUACGUUCCC
rnacentral:rRNA from 1 species